rnacentral:pre_miRNA from 1 species
AGAGGAAUAGCUGGGUAAAAUGGUGGUUUCAUUCCCAGUUUUUCAAGGAAUCUCCAUAUUGUUUCCCAUAAUGGUUGCACCAAUUUGCAGUCCUACCAGCAAU